rnacentral:rRNA from 1 species
GACGAACGCUGGCGGCGUGCUUAACACAUGCAAGUCGAACGGAAAGGCCCUGCUUUUGUGGGGUGCUCGAGUGGCGAACGGGUGAGUAACACGUGAGUAACCUGCCCUUGACUUUGGGAUAACUUCAGGAAACUGGGGCUAAUACCGGAUAGGAGCUCCUGCUGCAUGGUGGGGGUUGGAAAGUUUCGGCGGUUGGGGAUGGACUCGCGGCUUAUCAGCUUGUUGGUGGGGUAGUGGCUUACCAAGGCUUUGACGGGUAGCCGGCCUGAGAGGGUGACCGGCCACAUUGGAACUGGGAUACGGCCCAGACUCCAAGGGGAGGCAGCAGUGGGAAAUAUUGCACAAUGGGCGGAGGCCUGAUGCGGCAACGCCGCGUGCGGGAUAACGGCCUUCGGGUUGUAAACCGCUUUAGCCGGUGACGAGGCGUGAGUGACGGUAAUGGGUAAAGAAGAACCGGCUAACUACGU